rnacentral:lncRNA from 1 species
AUCCUUUUCAAAUUACGGUCAUCUGUUUACCAAUCACGGUCAUCCUCGUUAUAUGUUACGGUCAUCUUGAAAAUAUUUAAGUGAUGAUUUACGGUCAUCUUAGCGAUUUUUUCAAAUCCAAUUUCCAGUUUCAUGCACAUUUCUCGGUAGCAAUUUGUGAUUCCCUUGUGAAUCUUUUAUAAAAUUACAUCGUACCAAUGUAUGCUUUGUAAAGAAAAUGAUAUAGAAACCCUUUAACAGACAAUACAGAAACUGACCUAAUUUUUCAUCCGACAUCUUGGGAUGACCGUGAAUGCA